UACAGAGGUCGCGAGCGUUAAUCGGAUUUACUGGGCGUAAAGCGUGUGUAGGUGGUUGUUCAAGUCGGUUGUGAAAUCCCCGGGCUCAACCUGGGAACUGCUUCCGAGACUGAGCGACUAGAGAUCGGUAGAGGGCGGUGGAAUUUCCGGUGUAGCGGUGAAAUGCGUAGAUAUCGGAAGGAACACCAAUGGCGAAGGCAGCCGCCUGGGCCUGAUCUGACACUGAGGCGCGACAGCGUGGGGAGCAAACAGG
rnacentral:rRNA from 1 species